GACGAACACUGGCGGCGUGCCUAAUACAUGCAAGUCGAGCGCAGGAAACUGACGGAACUCUUCGGAGGGAAGGCAGUGGAAUGAGCGGCGGACGGGUGAGUAACACGUAAGGAACCUGCCUCAAGGAUUGGGAUAACUCCGAGAAAUCGGAGCUAAUACCGGAUAGUUCAACGGACCGCAUGGUCCGCUGAUGAAAGGCGCUUCGGCGUCACCUUGAGAUGGCCUUGCGGUGCAUUAGCUAGUUGGGGGGGUAACGGCCCACCAAGGCGACGAUGCAUAGCCGGCCUGAGAGGGUGAUCGGCCACACUGGGACUGAGACACGGCCCAGACUCCUACGGGAGGCAGCAGUAGGGAAUCUUCCACAAUGGACGAAAGUCUGAUGGAGCAACGCCGCGUGAGUGAUGAAGGUUUUCGGAUCGUAAAACUCUGUUGUAAGGGAAGAACACGUACGAGAGGAAAUGCUCGUACCUUGACGGUACCUUACGAGAAAGCCACGGCUAACUACGUGCCAGCCGCCGCAGUAA
rnacentral:rRNA from 1 species